rnacentral:rRNA from 1 species
UACGAAGGGGGCGAGCGUUGUUCGGAUUUACUGGGCGUAAAGGGCGCGCAGGCGGCUCAUUUUGUCAGGCGUGAAAGCCCCGGGCUUAACCUGGGAACUGCGCUUGAGACGGGUGGGCUAGAGAUCGGGAGAGGAGAGUGGAAUUCCCAGUGUAGAGGUGAAAUUCGUAGAUAUUGGGAAGAACACCGGUGGCGAAGGCGGCUCUCUGGGCAGUAACUGACGCUGAGGAGCGAAAGCGUGGGGAGCGAACAGG